rnacentral:tRNA from 1 species
GGAGACAUGGCUCAGUGAUUAAGAGCAUUGGCUGCCCCUCCAGAGGACCUGGGUUCAAUUCCCAGGGUCCGCA